rnacentral:rRNA from 1 species
AGUCAAUGAUCUAUCGAUUGAUCUAGUUACUUAGAAAGAUGAAUUAUCAAUCAUAUAUAAAAAUAUAUUAAUUUAUUAAUAUAUAAUAAUAAUAAUAUAAAAGAUAAUAGUGAUAAAAAAUAAAAUCUUAAUAUAGAUUUAAUUAUGAUAAAUAAAUAAAUCAUAAUUAUGUAAAUAAUAAUGAUAUAUCUAUAUGAUAAGUCUUAACAAAAAUUAGUGCCAGCAGUUGCGGUUAAACUAAGAAGGCUAACGUUAAUCAUUAUAGGCUUAAAGGAUCCGUAGAAUGAUAUCAUUAAAUAUAAAAUAUGAUAAUAGAGUUUAUGGUAUGAUUAAAGAAUAAUUAUAGUAAGGAUAAAAUCAGUUAAUAAUAAUUAGACUGUUAAUAGGUGAAGACAUUAAUCAAAAAAUAAACUGACAUUGAGGGAUGAAGGCAUUAGUAACAAAACGGAUUAGAUACCCGAGUAGUUUUUGCAGUAAACGAUGAAUACUAUUAUAAUUAAUUUAUAUUAAUUAUUAAUAAGCGAAAGCAUAAGUAUUCCGCCAGGUGAGUAUAUUCGCAAGAAUGAAAUCCAAAACAAUAGACGGUUACAGAUAAAGGCAGUGGAUUGUGUUAU